GCGUGCCCGAUCAACAGGGGCUAUUUUGAUAAGAUAGACACGGAGAUUAGAACCUCUCGCUUCUAA
rnacentral:tRNA from 1 species